rnacentral:ncRNA from 15 species
UAUCCGCACACAUGCUUCGGUCCGGAAAUGCAUAUUUCCGGUGAAAAGGGAAUACGGUGCGAUCCUCGCCUUGGAUCAAUUCCGUAACUGCCCCCGCAACUGUAAGCGGCGAGCGAUACCGGCAGAUGCCACUGUCACCCCAUGUGACGGGAAGGCCCGGUAGAGCAGCGACCCGCGAGUCAGGAGACCUGCCGAGGUGAUCACCCUAUCC